rnacentral:rRNA from 1 species
GAUGAACGCUGGCGGCGUGCUUACACAUGCAAGUCGAACGAAGCAUUUAGGACAGAUUACUUCGGUUUGAAGUUCUUUAUGACUGAGUGGCGGACGGGUGAGUAACGCGUGGGUAACCUGCCUUGUACUGGGGGAUAGCAGCUGGAAACGGCUGGUAAUACCGCAUAAGCGCACAAUGUUGCAUGACAUGGUGUGAAAAACUCCGGUGGUAUAAGAUGGACCCGCGUCUGAUUAGCUAGUUGGUGAGAUAACAGCCCACCAAGGCGACGAUCAGUAGCCGACCUGAGAGGGUGACCGGCCACAUUGGGACUGAGACACGGCCCAGACUCCUACGGGAGUCAGCAGUGGGGAAUAUUGCACAAUGGAGGAAACUCUGAUGCAGCGACGCCGCGUGAGUGAAGAAGUAAUUCGUUAUGUAAAGCUCUAUCAGCAGGGAAGAUAGUGACGGUACCUGACUAAGAAGCUCCGGCUAAAUACGU